GCCGCCUUAGCUCAGUUGGUAGAGCGCCACUUUUGUAAAGUGGAUGUCGUCAGUUCGAAUCUGACAGGCGGCU
rnacentral:tRNA from 1 species